rnacentral:rRNA from 1 species
CCAGACUCCUACGGGAGGCAGCAGUAGGGAAUCUUCGGCAAUGGACGAAAGUCUGACCGAGCAACGCCGCGUGAGUGAAGAAGGUUUUCGGAUCGUAAAGCUCUGUUGUAAGAGAAGAACGGGUGUGAGAGUGGAAAGUUCACACUGUGACGGUAUCUUACCAGAAAGGGACGGCUAACUACGUGCCAGCAGCCGCGGUAAUACGUAGGUCCCGAGCGUUGUCCGGAUUUAUUGGGCGUAAAGCGAGCGCAGGCGGUUAGAUAAGUCUGAAGUUAAAGGCUGUGGCUUAACCAUAGUACGCUUUGGAAACUGUUUAACUUGAGUGCAGAAGGGGAGAGUGGAAUUCCAUGUGUAGCGGUGAAAUGCGUAGAUAUAUGGAGGAACACCGGUGGCGAAAGCGGCUCUCUGGUCUGUAACUGACGCUGAGGCUCGAAAGCGUGGGGAGCGAACAGGAUUAGAUACCCUGGUAGUCCACGCCGUAAACGAUGAGUGCUAAGUGUUGGGAGGUUUCCGCCUCUCAGUGCUGCAGCUAACGCAUUAAGCACUCCGCCUGGGGAGUACGACCGCAAGGUUGAAACUCAAAGGAAUUGCGGGGGCCCGCACAAGA